GAGCAAUACCGCGUGAGGGAGGAAGGCUCUUGGGUCGUAAACCUCUUUUCUCAAGGAAGAAGAAAGUGACGGUACUUGAGGAAUAAGCAUCGGCUAACUCCGUGCCAGCAGCCGCGGUAAUACGGAGGAUGCAAGCGUUAUCCGGAAUGAUUGGGCGUAAAGGGUCUGCAGGUGGAACUGAAAGUCUGCUGUUAAAGAGUUUGGCUUAACCAAAUAAAAGCGGUGGAAACUACAGAACUAGAGUGCGGUAGGGGCAAAAGGAAUUCCUGGUGUAGCGGUGAAAUGCGUAGAUAUCAGGAAGAACACCGGUGGCGAAAGCGUUUUGCUAGACCGUAACUGACACUGAGGGACGAAAGCUAGGGGAGCGAAUGGGAUUAGAUACCCCAGUAGUCCUAGCCGUAAACGAUGGAUACUAGGCGUGGCUUGUAUCGACCCGAGCCGUGCCGGAGCUAACGCGUUAAGUAUCCCGCCUGGGGAGUACGCACGCAAGUGUGAAACUCAAAGGAAUUGACGGGGGCCCGCACAAGCGGUGGAGUAUGUGGUUUAAUUCGAUGCAACGCGAAGAACCUUACCAAGACUUGACAUCCUGCGAAUCCCGGUGAAAGCUGGGAGUGCCUUAGGGAGCGCAGAGACAGGUGGUGCAUGGCUGUCGUCAGCUCGUGUCGUGAGAUGUUGGGUUAAGUCCCGCAACGAGCGCAACCCUCGUUUUUAGUUGCCAGCAUUAAGUUGGGCACUCUAGAGAGACUGCCGGUGACAAACCGGAGGAAGGUGGGGAUGACGUCAAGUCAGCAUGCCCCUUACGUCUUGGGCUACACACGUACUACAAUGCUACGGACAGAGGGCAGCGAGCCAGGGAUGGCAAGCGAAUCCAGAAACCGUAGCUCAGUUCAGAUCGAAGGCUGCAACUCGCCUUCGUGAAGGAGGAAUC
rnacentral:rRNA from 1 species